rnacentral:rRNA from 1 species
GACGAACGCUGGCGGCGUGCCUAAUACAUGCCAGUAGAACGCUGAAGGAGGAGCUUGCUCUUCUGGAUGAGUUGCGAACGGGUGAGUAACGCGUAGGUAACCUGCCUGGUAGCGGGGGAUAACUAUUGGAAACGAUAGCUAAUACCGCAUAACAGUAGAUGUUGCAUGACAUUUGCUUAAAAGGUGCAAUUGCAUCACUACCAGAUGGACCUGCGUUGUAUUAGCUAGUUGGUGGGGUAACGGCUCACCAAGGCGACGAUACAUAGCCGACCUGAGAGGGUGAUCGGCCACACUGGGACUGAGACACGGCCCAGACUCCUACGGGAGGCAGCAGUAGGGAAUCUUCGGCAAUGGACGGAAGGCUGACCGAGCAACGCCGCGUGAGUGAAGAAGGUUUUCGGAUCGUAAAGCUCUGUUGUAAGAGAAGAACGAGUGUGAGAGUGGAAAGUUCACACUGUGACGGUAUCUUACCAGAAAGGGACGGCUAACUACGUG